GCCCUGGUGGAUCAAUGUAGAUCAUCCCUAAUUCUUGAUGCUGCUCCAUAAGAGUCUAGGGAAGACGGAGGUUCGAAUCCUCCUCAGGGUG